rnacentral:pre_miRNA from 1 species
UAUAAGGGAUUUUAAGUUUUUGCUUGCAACGUUUGACCACUCGUCUUAUUCAAAAUUUUUUAAAAUUAUUAUUUAUUUUAUCUGUGACUUACUUUAUUAUCUACAAUACUUUAAGCACAACUUUUCGUUUUUUAUAUUUGUAAAAAAAAUUUAAAUAAGACGAGUGGUCAAACGUUACAAGUAAAAACUCAAAAUCCCUUAUA